rnacentral:rRNA from 1 species
GAUGAACGCUGGCGGCGUGCCUAACACAUGCAAGUCGAACGGACGGACGAGAAUCUUGCUUCUCUGUUGUUAGCGGCGGACGGGUGAGUAACACGUGUAUAACCUACCUAUAAGACUGGUAUAACUUCGAGAAACCGGAUCUUAUACCGGAUAAUAUUUUGAACCGCAUGGUGCAAAAGUGAGAGACGGUCUUUCUGGCACUUAUAGAUGGUUCCGCGCUGCAUUAGCUAGUUGUUAAGGUAACGGCAUACCAAGGCAACGAUGCAUAGCCGACCUGCGAGGGUGAUCGGCGACACUGGAACUGAGACAGGGUCCAGACUCCUACGGGACGGAGCAGUAGCGGAUGGUACGCAGUGGGCGAGAGCAUGACGGAGCAGCGCCGAGUGAGUGAUGAAGAUCUUCGGAUCGUGAAACUCUGUUAUUAGGGAAGAACAGAUGUGUACGUAGCUGUGCAGAUAUUGACGGUACCGAAUCAAGAAGCACCGGCUAACUACGUG